rnacentral:lncRNA from 1 species
UUUUUUCUUUUCUUUUCUCUGUAUCUAUAUGAGACGAUGAGUGUUAACUAAACCUAUUAGGUAAUAAUUUCACAAUAUUUGUGAAUUAAACCAUCAUGCUGUACACCUUAAACUUCACAGUAAUGUAAGUCAAUUAUUUCUCAAUAAAACGGGGAGGAUUUAAAAAUAUAGUACAGGAACUACUAGUCAGAGAAAUUAGGCAAGAAAAAGAAAUAAAAGGCAUCUAAAUUAGAAAGGAAGUAGUAAAAAUAUCUCUGUUCACAUAUCAUUAUCUUAUGCACAGAAAACUCUAAAGAUUCCAUGCAAAAAAGUUAGAAUUGACAAAAAAAUCCAGCAAAGUAGCAGGAUAAAAAGUCAACACACAAAAAUCAACUGCAUUUCUAAACACUAACAAUGAACAACCUGAAAGGGAGAUUAAAAAACAAUUUCCGAUGAAUACCUACCAUUUACAUCAAUGUGGUUGGAACUGGAGGGUAUUACGCUGAGUGAAAUAAGUCAAUCAGAGAAAGAUAAUUAUCAUAUGGUUUCACUCAUAUGUGGAAUAUUAGAAACAGUGAAAGGGACCACAAGGAAGGGGGGAAAACUGAGUGGAGAAAACUUAAAGAGGAAAACAAACCAUGAGAGACUCCUACUCUGGGAAACAAACAAAGGGUUGCAGAAGGAGAGGUGGGGGUGGGAGGGCAGGGCAAUUGGGGGAUAGGCAUUAAGGAGGGCACAUGGUAAGAUGAGCACUGGGUGUUAUAUGUUGGCAAAUUUAAAUUAAAAAAAAGAAUUUGACAACUGAAAAAAAUUAUUUCCAUUUGUAAUACCACCAAAAAUAAUUUCCUCCCUAAUAACUGAACAAAGGAGGUGAAAGACUUGUUCAAUGAAAAUUACAAAACAUUUUUGAAAGAAAUUAAACAAGACAUAAACAAAUGAAAAGCAUUUAUUUAUGGGUUGGAGGACCUAACAGUGUUAAGAUGUCAAUACUAGCCAAAGCAAUCUUAAGAUUCAAUGCAAUCCCUAUCAAAAUCCCAAAGACAUUUCUUACAAUAAUAGGACAAAUCAUCCUAAGCUUCACAUGGAAUUGUAAGGGACCCCGAAUAGCCAAAAUAAUCCUGAAAGAAGAACAAAAUUGGAAUUCUCACACUUCCUGAUUUCAACUUCCUACAAAACUACACUAAUCAAAACAGUGUGGUACUGGCAUAAAAAGAGACAUAUAUGCCAAGGAUAUAGAAAAGACUCCAAAAAUAUACCCUUGAAUAUGCAGUCAAAUGAGUUUUGAUAAAGGAUGUCAAGACCAUUCAACAGGGAAAAGAUAGUAUUUUCAGCAAAUAGUUAUAGGAAAACUGGAUAUCCAGAGAUGCAAAUGAAUGAAGUUGGACUCUUACCUAACACUGUAUACAAAAAUCAACCUAAAAUGGAUCCAUGACCUAAAUGUAAGACCCGAAAAUAUAAAAAAACUCUUAAAAGACAAUAGAAAACAAAAGCUUCACAGUAUUACAUUUCUUGUAUAUGAUGCCAAAGGCACAGACAACAAAAGAAAAGGUAAACAAAUUGGACUCCAUGAAAAUUUUAAAAUCAAACAACCUGAUUCAAAAAUGGUCAAAGAAUUUGAAUAGACAUUUCUCUAAAGAAAAUAUAUAAGUGACCAAUAAGCACCUGGAAAGAUGCUAGACAUCACUAAUCACUGGGGAAAUGCAAAUCAAAACUAUAAUGUGAGACCACCUCAGACCCAUUAGAAUGACUAUUAAGAAAAAAAAAAAAACAGAAAAAAAAUUUUGGCAAGGAUAUGAAGAAAGGAAUCCUUGUGCAUUGUUAAUAUGAAUGCAAAAUGGUAUAGCCAUUGUGGAAACCAGUGUGGUGGCUCCUCAAAUAUUUUAAAAUAGAAUGACCACAUGAUCCAGCAAUUCCUAUUCCAGGUAUAUAACCAAAAGAAAACUGAAAGCAGUAUCUGGAAGAGAUAUAUCUGUUUUCAUGUUCAAGCUGCAUUAUUCACAAUAGCUAAAAUGUGGAGACAAUUCGUGUCCAUCACUGGAUGGACAAAUGGAUAAACAAAAUGUGGUAUAUACAUAAAAUGGCAUACUAUUCAACCUUAAUAAAAGAAGGAAAUCCUGCUCUGUGCCACAACAUGGAUGAAGCUUGAGGACAUUAUGCUAAGUGAACUAGGUCAGUCAAGAAAAGACAAAUACCAUAUGAUUCCACUGAUAUGAGGGACUUAGAGCAGUCACAAUCACACAGACAAAAUGUAGAAUGGUGGGUGCCACCAGCUGGGGGAAGGAGGGAAUGAGGAGUUAUUGCUUAAUAAGUAUAGGGUUUCAGUUUUGCAAGAUAAAAAACAUUCUGGAGUUGGAUAGUGGAGAUGGUUGCACAACAAUAUGAAUGUAUUAAUACUGAACUAGACACUUAAAAAUGAUUAAGAUAAAUUGUAUGUUAUGUGUGUUUUCCAGUAAAAAAUGGAAAAUGUAAAAAUAUUUUAACUUAUAAUCUGAAAAUCGAUAGCAAUUCUUUAAAAAACAAACACUAAAAACACCAUCUAUUUAACCAUCAAGCUUAUCUUUAGCAUUCCCAAUAUUAUUUUUCAAAAUAUUAAUCCACAUUAAUUCUUAUAUAUUUAUCUAUAAGUUUCUACUCUUUGUUCCUUUCUAAAAUUUUUAAUUGAAGCAUAGUUGACUCAGAAUAUUAUAUUAGUUCCAGGUGUAUAAUAUAGUGAUUCAACAAUUAUAUACAUAACAAAAUGCUCACCAUAAGUUUAAUUACUAUCUGUGUCACCAUACAAAGUUAUUAUAGUAUUAUUGACUAUAUUUCCAAUGCUGUACUUUUCAUCACCAUGACAUAUUUAUUUUAUAACUGUAAAUUUCUACCUCUUCAGGCCUAUCACCUCUUUCAUCUGCUCCUCAGCUCCUCUACCCCCUGGAAACCACCAGUUUGUUCUCUAUAGUUAUGAGUCUAUGUCUUUGUUUAUUAGUUCAUUCAUUUGUUUUGUUGUUUUGAUUCCACAUAUAAGUGAAACCUCUGGUACUUGUCUUUCUGUCUGACUUAUUUCAUCUAGCAUAAAACACUCCAGGUCCAUCCAUGUUGUUGUGAAUGGCAUGAUCUCAGUCUUUUUUUGUGUAGCUGAGUAAUAUUCCAUUAAUAUUCCCUUGUAUAUAUAUGCCACAUCUUGUUCAUCCCUUCAUCAUUCCAUUGUAAAUAAUGCUGCAAUAAAACUGAAAUAGAAGUACCAUACAAUUUAGUAAUUCCACUUCUGGGUAUUUAGCCAAAGAAAAUGAAAAUACUAAUUCAAAAGGUUUCUUUUUUUUUUUUUUUUAACCUUAAACUUCUUUAAAGCAGGCCUCAGAAUCACCUAACAACCUCACAUAAUAACCUGGUAAUACAAAUCCAUGUGAACCAAUAGAAAGCAAAAGGAAAUAUCAAUGCGAUAAUGUACCACUUCAUAAUCAAAAACAACAAGAGGUGUAGAUGGCUACUUGAGGCAAACUGAAAUUCUUUUUGUAAUCAUUAGCUCACAUUCGGUCCAUCAGGCUCUCAGUGACACACAGCACAACCAAACUUCUUGUGUUGACUAUUGACUUUUCUAUUUUUUCCCUGCUGGUAUUGGUACUC